rnacentral:rRNA from 1 species
GACGAAGGAUGCAAGCGUUAUCCGGAUUCAUUGGGCUUAAAGGGAGCGUAGGUGGCCUUAUAAGUCAGUGGUGAAAUCUCUGGGCUUAACCCAGAAAUUGCCAUUGAUACUGUAGGGCUUGAGUACAGUUGCUGUGGGCGGAAUAUGACAUGUAGUGGUGAAAUACAUAGAGAUGUCAUAGAACACCGAUUGCGAAGGCAGCUCGCAAAGCUGUAACUGACACUGAGGCUCGAAAGUGCGGGGAUCAAACAGG